AGUGAACGCUGGCGGCAGGCCUAACACAUGCAAGUCGAACGGCAGCACAGGAGAGCUUGCUCUCUGGGUGGCGAGUGGCGGACGGGUGAGGAAUAUAUCGGAAUCUACCCUUUCGUGGGGGAUAACGUAGGGAAACUUACGCUAAUACCGCAUACGAACUGAGGUUGAAAGCGGCGGACCGCAAGGCGUCGCGCGGAUGGAUGAGCCGAUAUCCGAUUAGCUAGUUGGCGGGGUAAAGGCCCACCAAGGCGACGAUCGGGAGCUGGUCUGAGAGGAUGAUCAGCCACACUGGAACUGAGACACGGUCCAGACUCCUACGGGAGGGAGCAGUGGGGAAUAGUGGACAAUGGGCGCAAGCCUGAUCCAGCCAUGCCGCGUGUGUGAAGAAGGCCUUCGGGUUGUAAAGCACUUUUGUUGGGAAAGAAAAGCGGUCGGUUAAUCCCCGGUCGUUCUGACGGUACCCAAAGAAUAAGCACCGGCUAACUUCGUGCCAGCAGCCGCAGUAACAC
rnacentral:rRNA from 1 species